CCCCCCCCCCCCCCCCCCCCCCCCCCCCCCCCCCCCCCCCCCCCCCCCCCCCCCUGCGCUGCCUGUGCCGCCCAUCCCCGCGGGGGCUGCAGCCAUGCAGCGCAGCCUCAGGGACACGGUGCCUGAGAAAGAGAAUGACAGGAAAUGUUCCCGAGCGGAAAAGAGCAGUUACAAGAGUCUCUUCCAAGUCAUAGAAGAGAUGGAACACUUUCAAGAGGACAGCCAGAGUGAGGAGGAGCUGUCCCCAGGGGAAGAUGACAGCGAGCUCUCUCCAGGGGACAGCAACACUGAUCCAGAGCUAUCUGAAGAGGAAGAGGCCAGAGAGGUCAUUCCAGAGGACAGCACAAAUGACCAGGAGCUGUCCCCAAAGGAGGAUGACAGAGAGCUCUUCCCAAUGGACAGCACAAGGGAUAACCCGAUUGAUGUGGAGAUGUCCUCAGUGGAAGAGCCCAUUGAGGUCAUUGCAGAGGACAGCAUGAGUGAGAAGGAGCUGUCCUCAGUGGAAGAGGAUGUUGAGAGGCCAUCGAGCUCUUCCCAGGGGACAGCUUCCCGGGUGAAGAAAAGCAUGAAGAAGAGGCGUCUCAAGGGGAGAAUGACUGUGCCAAAGAGCUGCCCCAAUGCGAUUACAACGAGCAUGAGAAGCUUUCCCCAGAAGAUGAUAAAUAUGAAACAGAGCUGUGCUUUGGGGAAGAGUGUGACAUCCAAGACAUGUUCCCACAGGCAGCAGAUGACAAUGAACAUCUGUCCCUAUGUGAAGAACAUGAACAUGAGGAGGUGA
rnacentral:lncRNA from 1 species